CUCCACCUUUAGCUCCAUCAUCUAGUAGUUGUAGUAGCUAUAUUCUUAGCCACCAAUCUAUUUUAGAAGAGUAUUAGCUUGCCUUCAACCUUUGCCACCCUCUCUACAGCCUGCUUGAGAGCUAAUUGGAGUACCUUCGGAUGGUUUCCUAGCCAUUCUAUUUAGCGAACAAUUUCAUGGUAGCAAUGGAAGGGGAGAA
rnacentral:lncRNA from 1 species